rnacentral:rRNA from 1 species
AGUGAACGCUGGCGGUAGGCCUAACACAUGCAAGUCGAACGGCAGCACAGUAAGAGCUUGCUCUUACGGGUGGCGAGUGGUGGACGGGUGAGGAAUACAUCGGAAUCUACUUUUUCGUGGGGGAUAACGUAGGGAAACUCACGCUAAUACCGCAUACGACCUACGGGUGAAAGCAGUGGAUCUUCGGACCUUGCGCGAUUGAAUGAGCCGAUGUCGGAUUAGCUAGUUGGCGGGGUAAAGGCCCACCAAGGCGACGAUCCGUAGCUGGUCUGAGAGGAUGAUCAGCCACACUGGAACUGAGACACGGUCCAGACUCCUACGGGAGGCAGCAGUGGGGAAUAUUGGACAAUGGGCGCAAGCCUGAUCCAGCCAUACCGCGUGGGUGAAGAAGGCCUUCGGGUUGUAAAGCCCUUUUGUUGGGAAAGAAAAGCAGCAGGUUAAUACCCCGCUGUUCUGACGGUACCCAAAGAAUAAGCACCGGCUAACUUCGUG